rnacentral:rRNA from 1 species
UACGGGGGGGCAAGCGUUGUUCGGAAUUACUGGGCGUAAAGGGCUCGUAGGCGGCCAACUAAGUCGGAUGUGAAAUCCCCAGGCUUAACCUGGGAACUGCAUCCGAUACUGGAUGGCUUGAAUCCGGGAGAGGGAUGCGGAAUUCCAGGUGUAGCGGUGAAAUGCGUAGAUAUCUGGAGGAACACCGGUGGCGAAGGCGGCAUCCUGGACCGGCAUUGACGCUGAGGAGCGAAGGUCAGGGGAGCAAACGGG